rnacentral:rRNA from 1 species
GAUGAACGCUGGCGGCGUGCCUAAUACAUGCAAGUAGAACGCUGAAGGGGGAGCUUGCUCUUCUGGAUGAGUUGCGAACGGGUGAGUAACGCGUAGGUAACCUGCCUGGUAGCGGGGGAUAACUAUUGGAAACGAUAGCUAAUACCGCAUGACAACAGUUAUUGCAUGAUAACUGUUUAAAAGGGGCAACUGCUCCACUACCAGAUGGACCUGCGUUGUAUUAGCUAGUUGGUGAGGUAACGGCUCACCAAGGCGACGAUACAUAGCCGACCUGAGAGGGUGAUCGGCCACACUGGGACUGGGACACGGCCCAGACUCCUACGGGAGGCAGCAGUAGGGAAUCUUCGGCAAUGGACGGAAGUCUGACCGAGCAACGCCGCGUGAGUGAAGAAGGUUUUCGGAUCGUAAAGCUCUGUUGUAAGAGAAGAACGAGUGUGAGGGUGGAAAGUUCACACUGUGACGGUAUCUUACCAGAAAGGGACGGCUAACUACGUG